rnacentral:rRNA from 1 species
CGUUACGGCCAUGCACUCUGAACAAGUCCAAUCUCGUCUAAUCUCGGAAGCUAAGCAGGUUUGGGCCUUUUUAGUACUUGGAUGGUAAACCACCUAGGAAGACCAGGUGGUGUAGGCGU